UGUUGAUGCUUGAAGGGGAGGAAUUCCUAUUUUGGAACAACUAUUACCGCUAUCCAAUUUGCUAUUAACUAGCAAGUUUAGUGAAAUCUCUCUUUUGUCAACUCACCAAAUUCCUAAACCACCUUCCCUUUCCCAUUUCUCAUACCACACUAUGGAGCCACGCAACUCUGCCACGUGCACGCCACCCUCGCGUUGCGACCCAUCUUGCGCGCAACUCACCCCCGAGUCGUGCACCCCAAGGUCCUGUCCUCUGGUAUGUUUGCAUAUUCUCGGAUAAAGUGUUGGAGAGGCUUUUCUCCAAGGUUGGAACAAACGGGUUUUGUGUGUUGUGGUUGGAAGCUGCAGGGAAACUGAUUUUGGGUCUCAAUCAGAUGUUCCUGGAUGGGUAAAUGAUUUUUGAUUACGGAUCGUGUGCAAAUUUUGACCAGAGGAUGUGGAGUAGCAAUUGUCGUGGAUGAGGACGAGAGUUGAGGAUCGGAGGUAGAUCUAAGAGAAGUAUAAUUCCGUUUGUGAUAUUUGGCCUAAAAGGAUAUUUCUGUUGUUAUAUUUUUUUUUCCACCUUUGUAAUGGAAAUACCGUUACGGUUGUAUUAGUAGGAAAGGUUCUGUGGAAAGAGUAAGUUUGAAAUAACAUGAAAAUUGACCCACCUGGGUAGUUUAAAUAACACUUUUAGUAGUGCCAAUACUAGUCCCCUUUCUAAGCUCAUUGAUGACUCAUUACACGUGCAGGCUGGGCCUUUGCGUUAGAGCCCAAAACUUCCUAAUAGUUUGCUAGGGUUUCUUGUAGGCUAUAAAUAGUUGCAACCUUCCCAUUCCUUUUCUUCUUAAUCCUCUGUUGUUUCUCAGCCGCCUCGGCUAGGGUUCGGAAACGAAGAAGGGUUCUGUUUUCUUUUCGCGAUGAGGGCCAAGUGGAAGAAGAAGCGUAUGAGGAGGCUGAAGAGGAAGCGCCGAAAGAUGAGACAGAGAUCCAAGUAGUGCGUUAAACCUAGUUUGUUUCCGUUGCUUUUACAAUUGCUUAUGUUGUCAAAUAGGACACCCAGUUGUUAGUGGCACUGGUCUCUCCUUUUUGAUGUUUUGAUACAUUUUGUUGGAUUUUAUUUCGUCUUAUGUUCUUAGCUGAAAACAAUGCUGUUACUGCGUUUGCGAAUCAACAGGAUAUCUUGUUUGCAUUUCUGUUUCUCUCUUUGCUACUUUGUCUGUACAUUGCAGCCACAUUCUCUUAUGUUGAUUUUGAUUUUGGAUUA